AUGGACGACUCGGAGAACAACGCGCCGUCGACCCCGGGCUCGCCGGGCUUCAGCACCGACCGGCUGCCGCCCAACACCACCACCAGCCGCGGCGCCACCGACCCGUCCUCCUACUCGGACGACGAUGGCGAGGCGGAGGUCGACCCCAACGUGCUCCCCGAGGACGACGGCGCCACCGUUAUCCGCGACGAGGAGGAAGACGACGGGGAGGACCUCUUCAACGACGACUACCUCAAUGAUUACCGAAGAAUGGAUGAGCAGGACCAGUAUGAGUCAGUUGGGUUAGAUGACUCAAUAGAGGAUGAGAGGAACCUGGAUGAGAUCAUGGCUGAUCGAAGGGCUGCAGAAGCGGAACUUCAUGCAAGGGAUGUGAGGACUGGUGCAACAGCUGAUCGAAAAUUGCCUCGUAUGCUUCAUGAUCAGGAUACAGAUGAGGAUAUUAACUUUAGGCGUCCUAAAAGGCACAGGGCUAAUUUUAGACAACCAAGUGGAGGACCAAGAACACCCAGAAGUGAUGAUGAUGGUGAUGGUCUCACUCCUAGUUCACCUGGAAGAUCUCAGCCAUAUUCUGGUGGUGAUGUGCCUAUGACUGAUCAGACUGAUGAUGAUGGAUAUGAGGAUGAAUUUGAUGAAGAAGAUGAGAUGAACAUGUAUCGUGUGCAAGGAACACUUAGAGAGUGGGUCACAAGAGAUGAAGUCAGGCGCUUCAUUGCAAAGAAAUUUAAAGAAUUUCUUCUUACAUAUGUAAACCCUAAGAAUGAACAAGGAGAGUUUGAAUAUGUCAGACUAAUUAAUGAGAUGGUUUUAGCUAACAAGUGUAGUUUGGAGAUAGACUACAAGCAAUUUAUUUAUAUACACCCAAACAUUGCCAUCUGGUUGGCUGAUGCACCUCAAUCAGUGCUGGAGGUUAUGGAGGAAGUGGGCAAAAAUGUUGUUUUUGAUCUCCACAAGAAUUACAGAAACAUCCAUCAGAAAAUAUAUGUGCGAAUCACCAACCUUCCUGUCUAUGAUCAAAUACGCAAUAUCAGGCAAAUUCAUCUGAACACAAUGAUUCGAAUCGGGGGUGUUGUUACUCGAAGGUCAGGUGUGUUCCCUCAGCUGCAGCAGGUCAAGUAUGACUGUAGCAAAUGUGGAACUGUCCUGGGUCCUUUCUUCCAGAACUCUUACACUGAAGUAAGGGUUGGGUCUUGCCCUGAAUGCCAAUCCAAAGGUCCAUUUACUGUCAACGUUGAGCAAACUAUAUACAGGAACUAUCAGAAACUCACUCUUCAGGAAAGCCCAGGGAUUGUUCCUGCUGGCAGGCUUCCCAGGUACAAGGAAGUAAUACUUCUGAAUGAUCUGAUUGACUGUGCUCGUCCAGGAGAGGAAAUUGAGGUUACAGGGAUAUACACAAACAAUUUCGACCUGUCUUUAAAUACAAAGAAUGGUUUCCCAGUUUUUGCCACAGUGGUGGAGGCAAACUAUGUAUCAAAGAAGCAGGAUCUGUUCUCUGCAUACAAAUUAACAGAUGAGGACAAGGCUGAGAUUGAGAAGUUGUCGAAGGAUCCUCGUAUCAGUGAAAGGAUUGUCAAAUCAAUUGCACCAUCCAUUUAUGGUCAUGAAGAUAUCAAGACUGCCAUUGCACUAGCUAUGUUUGGCGGGCAAGAAAAGAACGUGAAGGGAAAGCAUCGCCUAAGAGGUGAUAUUAACUGUCUCCUCUUGGGUGACCCAGGCACUGCGAAAUCCCAAUUUCUCAAGUAUGUUGAGAAAACAGGACACAGGGCUGUAUACACAACUGGGAAAGGAGCUUCUGCUGUUGGACUCACAGCAGCAGUUCACAAGGAUCCAGUAACACGGGAGUGGACCCUUGAGGGAGGUGCACUGGUUCUUGCUGAUAGAGGCAUAUGCCUUAUUGAUGAAUUUGAUAAGAUGAAUGAUCAAGAUAGGGUAAGUAUUCAUGAAGCCAUGGAGCAACAAAGUAUCAGCAUAUCAAAGGCAGGGAUUGUCACAUCCCUUCAAGCUCGAUGCAGUGUUAUUGCUGCAGCAAACCCAGUUGGAGGAAGAUAUGAUUCUUCGAAGACAUUCACUCAAAAUGUUGAACUAACAGAUCCAAUCAUUUCACGUUUUGAUGUCCUCUGUGUUGUUAAGGAUAUUGUUGACCCAUUUACGGAUGAAAUGCUUGCAAGGUUUGUUGUAGAUAGCCAUGCCAGAUCUCAGCCCAAGGGUGGUAAUCUUGAAGAUAGAGUUGUAGCUGAUGAGGAGGAUGAUCCAUUGACUGUUGCCCGGAAUGCUGACCCAGAUAUCCUUUCUCAAGACAUGCUGAAGAAGUAUAUCACAUAUGCUAAGUUGAAUGUAUUCCCCAAAAUACAUGAUGCUGACCUUGACAAGAUCAGCCAUGUCUAUGCUGAACUUCGACGUGAAUCAUCUCACGGUCAAGGAGUCCCCAUUGCAGUAAGGCAUAUCGAAUCAAUCAUUCGAAUGUCUGAGGCACAUGCAAAGAUGCAUCUGCGAAGCUAUGUGUCUCAGGAAGAUGUGGACAUGGCCAUUCGUGUGCUGCUUGACUCGUUCAUCUCAACCCAGAAAUUUGGUGUCCAGAAAGCACUUCAGAAGAAUUUCCGGAAGUACAUGACGUACAAGAAGGAUUACAAUGAACUGCUUCUGCUCCUUCUGCGCACCCUGGUCAAGGAGGCGCUGCACUUUGAAGAAAUCGUGUCUGGAUCAACCACACGCCUGACUCACGUUGAGGUUAAAGUGGAUGACCUGAAGAACAAGGCCCAAGAAUAUGAGAUCUACGACCUGAGGCCGUUCUUCUCCAGCUCUCACUUCAGUGACAACAGCUUUGUCCUCGAUGAAGGGCGUGGGAUCAUCAGGCAUCCAGUUGCGGCAUAA
rnacentral:rRNA from 1 species